rnacentral:lncRNA from 1 species
GAGAAAGGAUCAUUGAUCGAUUCCCAAUUCAGAUUGGGAUCUCACAAUUGAUACAAUAAAUCGUAGAUGAGAAAUAUUUGGAGGAAAAAAAAUAUUGUAUACAUAUUCUUUCCCAUUUAUUUUCUUCAAUUCUUGUACUAUAAACACAGUCGAAGGGUUGUACAUUUUACAGAUUGAGAAAUACAAACAUUACUCUUCCAUUACUCCACAUUUCCUGUCAUGGUAUCAGAGCGGUUUUCUGACCUAGUUUCCGCAAACAUCUUCUGACUUGCCCCCAAAUCGUUUUCUAACUUUGUUGUUGCAAGCCUUGCCCUGCAAAACAAAUUAGCACUUCGGGUAGGAGUUCAUUUUUUUCAACAUGCAGAACCCAAAGAACAAUGAAAGCCAAGAUCCAAUCCUACCUUCAAUGGAGGAGUCAUCCAACCGAGUCUCGAAUCAAAUCGACUAGACCUGAGAUGAACACGAGUCUGUUCCACAGCAUACGAUCCCAGCAACAGCCGCAAUUCAGACGAUUGGAACACUAUUUCCUGCCUCAACCCAGUGACCGUUCAUUCAAUGGGUACCAAUAUAAGGCCCAUGGGCAGCCGGAUUCAAUCAACAGUGGUCAAACUAUGGCCCACCUAGAGAAGACGCAUCCAGGGAGGAAGCAAACUUGGCGAUUCGCUCGAAUCUGGUGGGAUUCAAAUCAAAUCCUAUGGGUCACAAACCCGAACUUGACCCGAGAAACCUAGGGAAGAAUCCCUACCCGGGUUUUCAACCCGAACUUGCACCGUUUCAUUUUCAGGUCAUCGGCGGCGGCGGACGCCCAGAAACAGGCGACCCCCUUUAUACCUCACCGGCCGAUGGGCUGGAACUACUGUUGAUCUCUCUUCAACUCGCUGGACCCGACCAUUAUAGCACUUGGGCGAGGGACUUCCGACGAGCCUCGUCACGAAAGAUAAGGAUGGGUUCAUCGACAGAACCAUUCCCUUCCUAGCUGACAACCGAACGCAGCGACUUUGGCACAAAUGCAACCAACUUGUCCGCACUUGGAUCGGGAAUUGCGUAACGCCCAAGGUCGCGACCGGGCUUCCUCCAACCGAAGACUUAAAAGUUAUGUGGGACAAUAUUCACAAAAUGUACGAGAAACUUAACCGAGUUAAAAAAAAAUUCACUCACUCAAGCUCUGUCGGAAUUGAAGCAAGGGAACCUCUCGGUUACCGCUUGCUUCAACUGACUUUCAACACUGUGGAAUGAAUUAGACGCCGCAGAGGAGCAGCUCGAAGGGCUAGAAGCGACCCUCAAACAAUACAAAGAAAUUAUAGAGAGGAAGAAGGUAAUGCGAUUUCUCUUAGCCCAAAACAAAAGCUACAUACCUUUUCGUUCGCAGAUUCUCGCCAUGGAGGCCGUCCCACCGCUUGGCCACAUCUUCCAAUUGGCUGUGCAAGAGGAGAAUCAGAGUCUCACCAGCAUGGGACAUGAGAAAGGAGGGGAGAGCGUGGCCCUUGCUACACCGGCGAGACCUGCACACCAAACUUACGGCGGUUCCUGGCCACCGCGCCAUGGGCUGGACUGCCUCAUCAAUCCUCAUGCUCAGAUGAAGAUGAAAGGGG